rnacentral:rRNA from 1 species
UACGUAGGGUGCGAGCGUUGUCCGGAAUUACUGGGCGUAAAGAGCUCGUAGGCGGUCUGUCACGUCGGCUGUGAAAUCCCGAGGCUCAACCUCGGGUCUGCAGUCGAUACGGGCAAACUAGAGUAUUGCAGGGGAGACUGGAAUUCCUGGUGUAGCGGUGAAAUGCGCAGAUAUCAGGAGGAACACCGGUGGCGAAGGCGGGUCUCUGGGCAAUAACUGACGCUGAGGAGCGAAAGCGUGGGGAGCGAACAGG